CAGCACCUCAAGUGGUCAGGAUGAUUAUUGGGCCUAAAGCAUCCGUAGCCGGCGCUGUAAGGUUUCGGUUAAAUCUGUACGCUCAACGUACAGGCUGCCGGGAAUACUGCAGCGCUAGGGAGUGGGAGAGGUAGACGGUACUCGGUAGGAAGGGGUAAAAUCCUUUGAUCUAUUGAUGACCAACUGUGGCGAAGGCGGUCUACCAGAACACGUCCGACGGUGAGGGAUGAAAGCUGGGGGAGCAAACCGGAUUAGAUACCCGAGUAGUCC
rnacentral:rRNA from 1 species